rnacentral:lncRNA from 1 species
AUGCAAAAAAAAAAAAAAAAAAUGUGGGGGCAAUUUUCAAGCAAAAAUGUGGCUUUUUCCAAAAAGGGGAAAAUAACGUUCGCUUUCUUCUCACCCCCUGCUUCAGAUCAUCAUGCUCUUUCUUUUUGGUUUUUUUUUUUCCCAACCAGCUCCGGUUUUAACGCUUCGAUCUGCCCUCGGGCCGCGAGUGCGGGAGCCGGCGGAGCUGCGCGUUUGGCCCCGUCACCRGCCACAUUUGCAAAACGCCAGAUUUGCAAAACGCCACUUUUGCAAAAACGCUGCGGCUUUUUGCGAACGCCCUUUCUAAAAACCCCUAUUUGGCUCUUUUUGAGGCCUCCUGCGCAUCUCCGCUCCUCGUUCCCGCGCCCUCGCCGGGGGAAAGCGGAUCCUCUCCAAGCUGCCCCCAGGCUCGCCGCGGACCAAGCCGGCUCCUCGGCCCCUACGAAACCCUUUCUGCCCUUUUUCUCCCCAAAAGACCACGAACCUUGUAUCCCGUCCAGGGAAUAUCCAGGGAAAUGCCGCCGCGGACGCGCAGCCCGACCCGCUUCCCGCAGGCAACACGGCUUCCCGCGGGCCACGCCGCCCACCAGCCUCGAGCCUGCAGCGUUUUGCAAAAAAACGAGCAAAAAAAACAAGGAAAACCCAAGCGCCGGCAGCAGCGGGGCUCGCGGCUGCCCCAGGGGCCGCCGGGAUUUCGGGAAGGUGAAAGAUCAGAAGCAGACUUUGGUAAGUAACCACACUUUUAGAAAGUAAUAUAUCAUUUUUGAAACAUAUCAGUGCAUACUUCUUAUAUGAAAAUAUACACAAUUGUAUUUCAUUCUCCAAAAAAGGAACAAUUAAAAACAAAAGCAAACUAGCCCAAACACAAUAUAUUAGCUGUUUUUUUUCUUUUUUUUUUUUUUUUUUGUCGUCGUUUAAAAGUUUUAACGCUACACUUUGUUCAGGUUACACUUUUUUUGUCUUUUUUUUUUUUUUGUAAAUGUUUUUUUUUCUUCAUGCAUUUUACACCUUUAUAGCCUUUGAGAAUAAAUAAGCUCCAUUUUGCUUCCA